GACGAACGCUGGCGGCGUGCCUAAUACAUGCAAGUAGAACGCUGAAGAGAGGAGCUUGCUCUUCUUGGAUGAGUUGCGAACGGGUGAGUAACGCGUAGGUAACCUGCCUGGUAGCGGGGGAUAACUAUUGGAAACGAUAGCUAAUACCGCAUAAAAUUGAUUAUUGCAUGAUAAUUAAUUGAAAGAUGCAAUUGCAUCACUACCAGAUGGACCUGCGUUGUAUUAGCUAGUUGGUGAGGUAACGGCUCACCAAGGCGACGAUACAUAGCCGACCUGAGAGGGUGAUCGGCCACACUGGGACUGAGACACGGCCCAGACUCCUACGGGAGGCAGCAGUAGGGAAUCUUCGGCAAUGGGGGGAACCCUGACCGAGCAACGCCGCGUGAGUGAAGAAGGUUUUCGGAUCGUAAACUCUGUUGUAAGAGAAGAACGGGUGUGAGAGUGGAAAGUUCACACUGUGACGGUAUCUUACCAG
rnacentral:rRNA from 1 species